UAAAAAAUUCAUAAAGUGCAAUAUAUUCUUGUAUUUUUUGCUCAUUAUCCAAAUAUGCUUGUAUUUUUGGCUCAUUAUCCAAAAAAUUCGGGAUCUGACGAAUAUUAAUUUGGCUCAUUAUCCAAAUAUGCUUGUAUUUUUUCGUUUUGGGCCAGCCGGCGCGCGAAGCUGGCGAGCUGUGACGCCCCAACUUUCCAGGGGGUCACCCAUCCUAGGACUACUCCCGUCCUAGCACGCUUAACUCUCUUAACCUCUUGGGCCUUGCCAUCACCCAAAAUGCUUAAGCCGGGUUAAGAGUUUAGCCCUAUUAUAUCUUAUAUAUAGGACUAUCUGGGGUCUCACAAUCUCCCCUCCUUUAAGCCCUGACGUCCUCGUCAGGCUCAGACUCACAAGUACCAGGCGAUGUGAGACUCGUCUCGCUAGCCCGUCAUCCAGACCCUGACUCAGCCGAGACUCAUCUCACACUUCCGGCUGGUAAUUGGCUCUGAUACCAUCUGUGACGCCCCAACUUCCCAGGGGGUCACCCAUCCUAGGACUACUCCUGUCCUAGCACGCUUAACUCUCUUAACCUCUUGGACCUUGCCACCACCCAAAAUGCUUAAGCCGGGUUAAGAGUUUAGCCCUAUUAUAUCUUAUAUAUAGGACUAUCUGGGGUCUCACACGAGCGCUCGAGGGUGCGAGCUGCGAGCGCGUGAGGGUGCGUGCGGGAGCGCGCGUGGGAGCGCGCGGGCGCGGGCAGCGCGGGUGCGAGGCGUUUUUUUGGACCGAAUAAUUCGGAGUUCGCGUAUAAUACGCGAACAAGUAUUUUUUGCCAAAAGUACGCGUUUUUUCCCCAUUUUUUAGAAAAAUACGAAUUCGACCGUUUAAUUCGUUUUUUCAAAAAUUCAUGAAUAAUUUGCGAAUUAACUAACA
rnacentral:lncRNA from 1 species